AGAGUUUGAUCAUGGCUCAGAACUAACGCUUGUGGCGUGUCUUAGUCAUGCAAGUCGAACGAGAAAGCCCUCUUCGGAGGGUGAGUAGAGUGGCGAACGGGUGAGUAACACGUGGGUAACCUGCCUCCGAGUUGGGGAUAACACCUCUAACGAGGUGCUAAUACCGGAUGAUGAGACGUCGUCGUAUGGCGAUGCCUUCAAAGGUGGCCUCUACUUGUAAGCUGCUGCUCGGAGAUGGGCCCGCGUCGUAUUAGCUAGUUGGUAGGGUAAUGGCCUACCAAGGCGACGAUGCGUAGCCGGCCUGAGAGGGUGAACGGCCACACUGGCACUGAGACAAGGGCCAGUCCCCUACGGGGGCCAGCAGUCUAGAAACUUGCACAAUCGACGAAAGUUGGAUGCAGCGACGCCACGUGGAGGAUGAAGCCCCUCGGGGUGUAAACUCCUGUCAGAAGGGAAGAAGGCGCGGGCGCCAAUACCGCCCGUUGCUUGACGGUACCUUCAAAGGAAGCUCCGGCUAACUACGUGCCAGCAGCCGCGGUAAUACGUAGGGAGCGAGCGUUGUUCGGAUUUACUGGGCGUAAAGGGCAGGUAGGCGGGUGUGUAAGUCGGUUGUGAAAUCCUCUGGCUCAACCAGAGAACUGCAGCCGAAACUGCGCACCUUGAGUCCAGCGAGGGAAUCGGAAUCCUAGGUGUAGCGGUGAAAUGCGUAGAUAUCUGGGAGAACACCAGUGGCGAAGGCGGAUUCCUGGGCUGGCACUGACGCUGAGCUGCGAAAGCGUGGGGAGCGAACAGGAUUAGAUACCCUAGUAGUCC
rnacentral:rRNA from 1 species